AUUGAACGCUGGCGGCAGGCUUAACACAUGCAAGUCGAACGAGUGGCGGACGGGUGAGUAAUGCUUGGGAAUCUAGCUUUUGGAGGGGGCUCACUACGGGAAACUGUAGCUAAUACCGCGUUCCAUAGGAUGCGCCCAUAUGGGAUUAGGUAGUUGGUGAGGUAAAGCCUCACCAAGGAGACGAUCGCUAGCUGGUCUGAGCGGAUGACCGGCAACACGGGGACGGAGACACGGUCCAGACUCCGACGAGAGGCAGCAGUGGGGAAUAUUGCACAAUGGGGGCAACCCUGAGGCAGCCAUGCCGCGUGAAUGAAGAAGGCCUUCGGGUUGUAAAGGACUUUUGGCAGGGAAGCGGUACCCGAAGAAGAAGCACCGGCUAACUACGUGCCAGCAGCCGCGGUAAUAC
rnacentral:rRNA from 1 species